UACGGGGGGAGCAAGCGUUGUUCGGAUUUAUUGGCGUAAAGAGCGUGUAGGCGGCCAGGUAGGUCUGCUGUGAAAACUCGAGGCUCAACCUCGAGACGUCGGCGGAAACCAUCUGGCUAGAGUCCGGAAGAGGAGAGUGGAAUUCCUGGUGUAGCGGUGAAAUGCGCAGAUAUCAGGAAGAACACCCGUGGCGAAGGCGGCUCUCUGGGACGGUACUGACGCUGAGACGCGAAAGCGUGGGGAGCGAACAGG
rnacentral:rRNA from 1 species